CAAAAACAUAGCCCAUAGCAAUCCAAGUAUUAUGGGCGUGGCCUGCCCAGUGAAACUCUUUUAAACGGCCGCGGUAUCCUAACCGUGCAAAGGUAGCGCAAUCACUUGCCCCUUAAAUAGGGACCAGUAUGAACGGCUAAAUGAGGGCCCGCCUGUCUCCUGUGCCCUAUCAAUGAAACUGAUCUCCCGGUACAAAAGCCGGAAUAGCCGCAUAAGACGAGAAGACCCUGUGGAGCUUCAAACUAACAAUUAUCAUCAUAAUUAUCCGUUUUAAGUUGGGGCAACUUUGGAAAUAAAAUAACCUCCAAGACAGCAGGCACCUGCCCUGGGCCAAGGUCAACACACCAAAGAUAAAUCUGAGACCCAGUAAUACUGAUCAACGAACCAAGUUACCCCAGGGAUAACAGCGCUAUCUUCCCCCAGAGUUCAUAUCGACAGGAAGGAUUACGACCUCGAUGUUGGAUCAGGACAUCCAAGUGGUGCAGCCGCCACUAAAGGUUCGUUUGUUCAACGAUUAAAGUCCUACGUGAUCUGAGUU
rnacentral:rRNA from 1 species